UGUUUCUAAAUGUAUUCUCUUAUUAAUAUUUGACACCAUGAAUAUGACAUUUAUUACUAAUCUUUGUUUUAUAUUAUUUUUAUAUGUAAUUUGGGGGUGAUUAUCCGGAAGGGGUAUUUUAAUCUGAAUGUUUGACACUAGGGAAAACUAACCUGAUGUUUUCCUCACUGACGUAUUUUCUCCAGGUUCUGGCUCAGGUGUAAAAAUGCGCCAAACGUGCGGAAAUGAGACUUUUCUGACGUCAGUCGGGUCCCGAUCGAUCGUCCUUAGAUAACCGUUCAAGAAACGUCCCCUCGUGAACGCUGCACCGUUUGCCCUGCACGCGCAGUGAUGACGUCGUUCCCUAGCAACCGGCCAACGCGUCGUAGCGACCGUCCCUGAGAGCGAAGCGGCGGGAAGGGUUUUGGUGUUGUCGUUAUUUUCGGUUUUAACGUCGUUUUUGUGCCAAAGUUCGGAUUUUACCGGAUACGUCUGAGCACGAGACGUUUGUUAAUGUUUCCCGCCCUUCAGCAGCCAACAGAAAAUUCCCGGGAAACGGUGAGAGGUGUUUGGACAGGGCCUUCCUGAUGGAUGAGACGGUGAGGCCUCUGAGGAUUCCUCCUCAGAUGUUCGUCUAUGCCGACAAACACAACGUUUCCCAGCUGGUGCAGAGCAUGCUGUGCAGUCUGGUGAUCGAUCAGCCUGAUGAUCCGAUCUGCUACCUGAUUGGGCUGCUGCAGAGGAGCAGCGAUGAUGUCCCCAGGGUCAUUGUGCUGGGACCUCCUGCUGUCGGCAAACACACUGUGGCCAAAAAGCUGAGCGCCGACCUGAGAGCUGUUCACGUGACCGAAGACAGUUUACUGCAGUACCGAUCAGAGCUGAGCGUGCACGCCGAGCAGGAGCUUUCGGAGGAGGUGCUGGUUGGACUGGUUCAGCAGAGGCUGAAGGAGAUGGACUGCUUCCACCGGGGCUGGGUGUUGGAGGGAAUCCCUCAGACUCGCCUGCAGGCUCUGAGUCUGCAGGCGGGCGGAGUCAUCCCCGAGCACGUUGUGAUGCUCGAGGCGCCGGAUGACGUGCUGAUGGAGAGAAGUUGCGGACGGCUGGUCGACGCGAUCACUGGGGACGUCUACCAUCGGACUUUCAUCCUGCCAGAUGAUGACAUUAUCACUAAGCGUCUGGAGAAGGGGAGGAGUCUGACAGACCAACAGAGACUUGCUAAGCUGCACCGUUACCGCUGUGAGGUCACGGGUCUGAGAUCAGCCUAUCAGCACAUGCUCAAGGUCAUUGACAGCGACCAACCACACGCCGACGUCUACCUGCAAGUGCUGGCUUUCGUCCGGACUCGUCAGCGCUCCAGAACUCCCAGAAUCCUCCUGCUGGGACCACCGGGGUCUGGAAAAAGCCGUCAAGCCCAGCUGCUGUCAGAGAAGUACAGGAUGGUUGACGUGAGCUGCGGUCGCUUGCUGAGGUCUGUAGCUGCAGCUGGUUCCACUCGAGGAGCAGAGGUCCAGGCAUACCUGGAUGAUGGACGUCCAGUUCCAGACUCGCUGCUGCUGCAGGUCCUGGAGGACCGGCUGAGCCGACCCGACUGCACCCACGGGGGCUGGAUCCUCCACGGCUUCCCCUGCGACCUGCAGCAGGCCCGGAGCCUGCAGGAAAGCCACCAGCAGCCCAACAGGGUUUUCUUCCUGGAGCUGACCGAUGACGUUUGCCUGGAGAGACUCAGUCUGAGAGCCACAGACCCGGUCAGCGGUCAGAGGGAGAACAUGUCUGCAUCAGCCUGUCAGCCCUGUGAUGUAACACACACAGCUUCCAUCAUGUGACUCGGCCGGCUCCGAGCUCUGAGGUUCAGCACAGACUAAAGACCCGACCCGAGGACAGCAUGGAGUCUGUAACACAGAGACUGAAACAGUACAGGGUCCACAGCGCCGCCCUGCAGUCUGUGUAUCCUGAGGCCAUUCACAUCGAUGCUGAUCAGGACCCUCACUCUGUGUUUGAGGCCGUGGCGAGCAGGCUGACCUCUGAGUGACCUCUGACUCACCUGGACUCAACUGAACAAGCUGUGGUCACAUAAUUGUCUGUAAAAAUAAAGCAUGUACUGCUCCUC